GUGAAGGUGUCCGUGUACUCGAAGUAAUAAGCCAGCAUCACGGUCCCUGCCAUGAUCACCAUCUGGAAGUAAAGCAUGCUGCUGGUUCAUGAGGAUGCAGCAAAGCCAGAAAACUCAAGAAAGCAGAAAACCCAAGUGACAAAAGUCAGCUACAAAGACACAAAGCAUUUGUAAGCCCUGGGAUUCUGCCAUGAAUGACACCAUCACCAGGCCACUGAGGAUACACCUCACAGGAAUUUCCUGCACUGGUUUGUUUCCUAAAGCCAGACUUUUCAUACUCCCUGCAGGACAGACACCUCUGCACUUUAAGAAACCUUCUGCAGAUAUCCCCUCUACACUGUCCUUUUGGCUACAAGGCUAAGCUCAGAGCAAGACUAAAAAGACAAACAUUUUUAAGGCAUAGGCAUGCUCACACGGAAAGCUGUGUGUUUCUCCAAAUGACUGGAUUCCUACAAAACCAUUUCUGCAGGAAGCAUUUGUUUCCAUCAAUCAUUAUUCAGAUACUUUCCUCCUAUCAAGGUGUUUCUGUCCUUGCAGAUAUAUUCAAAACUUCAUUUACAAGGCUCUGAGGAACCUUACCAAAAAGUGAGGUCAGCCCUGCUUUGAACCUAAAAUUUUCUGUGGUUCUGGGAAUUACAUUUGAUUUACUCCAACAGCGAUUUGCUGUCUUUAAUCUUAAUUGUUACAAUCUGUUCUAAUAGUGGUUCACAGAAACUAUGGCAAUUCACUUGAUGAUUGUAAUUCAUAUCUAAGAAUAAAAUAAUAUUUCCUGUAAAUUGCUUAAUUGAUACGAAUUGAAGCUGCCCAUCCACUUACCUAAAGUGGUAGUAAGAAAGAUAUCUCUUAAUUUUGCACUUUCUAAAGAGACAGUACUCUGUGUGUAUAUAUCUAUAUAUUUGUAUGUAUGUACGUGCUCCAGUAAGGUGCUACAUAAUACCUGUUACAGAAUUUGUUUUUAAAAACAUAAUCUAAGAGAUUAUGCCUUUGACCUAAUUAUAAUUUCUCAUCAUAAUUACCUUCCAGGCAAAAACUCUAUUGUCAAGCUGUCAAGCAUUAGCAAAAGACUAAUGAAGGCAGCAAGGAAGUAACUAAAGCAUCAAGAAGUUACUUCUGAGAGAAGGCAGCAGCCUUUGCAGCUUUCAGAAGUGAAGCCUGAACUGAAAGUAACAGUUGGAAAACUAAAGAGACGUAGUAACAAUAAUAAAAUAAUAAGUUAAACCAGC